GGUCCGAUGCCACGUCGCUAAUAGCCGAAUAAUAAGGCUUUGAUUUGCGAUGCUAUGAUUGGUACCAAUAUUAAAUCUCAUUAUGUUUCGCAUUUGAUAGGAACCCGUUAAUCUCAUUUUUCUAUGAUUAAACGGAGCCGUUUUUUUGCGAUUACAUUC